GACGAACGCUGGCGGCGUGCUUAACACAUGCAAGUCGAACGGAAAGGCCCGGCUCUUGUGGGGUGCUCGAGUGGCGAACGGGGGAGUAACACGUGAGUAACCUGCCCUUGACUUUGGGAGAACUUCAGGAAACUGGGGCGAAUACCGGAGAGGAGCUCCUGCUGCACGGUGGGGGUUGGAAAGUUUCGGCGGUUGGGGAUGGACUCGCGGCUUAUGAGCUUGUUGGUGGGGUAGUGGCUUACCAAGGCUUUGACGGGUAGCCGGCCUGAGAGGGUGACCGGCCACAUUGGGACUGAGAUACGGACCAGAAUCCUACGGGAGGCAGCAGUGGGGAAUAUUGCACAAUGGGCGGAAGCCUGAUGCAGCAACGCCGCGUGCGGGAUGACGGCCUUCGGGUUGUAAACCGCUUUCGCCUGUGACGAAGCGUGAGUGACGGUAAUGGGUAAAGAAGCACCGGCUAACUACGUG
rnacentral:rRNA from 1 species